AUUGAACGCUGGCGGCAGGCCUAACACAUGCAAGUCGAGCGGGGUUUUCGGACCUAGCGGCGGACGGGUGAGUAAUGCGUAGGAAGCUGCCCGAUAGAGGGGGAUACCAGUUGGAAACGACUGUUAAUACCGCAUAAUGUCUACGGACCAAAGUGUGGGACCUUCGGGCCACAUGCUAUCGGAUGCGCCUACGUGGGAUUAGCUAGUUGGUGAGGUAAUGGCUCACCAAGGCGACGGUCUCUAGCUGGCUUGAGAGGAUGAUCAGCAACACUGGAGCUGAGACACGGUCCAGACUCCUACGGGAGGCAGCAGUGGGGAAUAUUGGACAAUGGGCGCAAGCCUGAUCCAGCCAUGCCGCGUGUGUGAAGAAGGCCUUCGGGUUGUAAAGCACUUUCAGCGAGGAGGGAGGAGUGAGUGUUAAUAGUCCACACCUUUGACGUUACUCGCAGAAGAAGCACCAGCUAACUCUGUGCCAGCCGCCGCCGUAACAC
rnacentral:rRNA from 1 species